UGCCCAGGGUGUGUUCUUCCUUGUGGCCCUUGCCUGCUGCAGCUCUCCCACACGACCCUGUACCUGAUAAAGUUGGAUGGAACACAAGACAGGUCUCAAACGAGACGAGGCCACUCGGUUCAUCCAACCUGUUUGGUAAUUAGUUUUGUAAUUAGUGGCUCAUUAACCCCAAGAUCUCAUCCAGCUGUUUCUUGAGAGCAGCCAGGGUAUCGGCUUCAGGAACAUGGCUGGGCAGCUUGUUACACACUCCCACCACUCUUUGUGUAAAGAAGGGAAAACUCAUAGGCUUCUCUAUUUGUCAGUGUACGAAACUGUCAAACCCCAGAAUGUAUCAGGUUGCAAUAUCUAUUGCACAUUGUCUGAUGAAUUUAAAUUAAUUGCACUUAUGUAUCACAUUUCAGUUAACUCUUGAAUUUGUUACCAGAAAAGAGGAAAAAUAAAUUAACUGGACCGUAUCCUUCCACUUACUGCGAGGUGACGUCAGGAUCAGCCAAUCACCGUGUGGGAUGCGGUGACAGACGGAUUGAUGUCACUUCAGAGAGUGACAGUUCUGGAGCUCCGCUUCCACCCGUCGGACGGCCAUUUUGGCUCCAGUUUCCAACUGCGCGCUGGCAAUCCAUGUCAACGAGGAAGCAAAAUGGCGCCCUUGGGUGGCUGGGUGUCCUUGGCGAUGGGCCGGUCAUGUGACCGCGGCGGGGGCAAAGCUCGUCGAUGUAAACAACAUGGCGACUCGGAGAGAAAAGACCGGGGCCUACCUGGGGAUUAUUCCUUAACGUAAACUCAAGCAGUGACAAUAAAAAAAAACCCAAGCAGUAUCGAUUCGCUAGUAUUGAUAAGCCUAUUGAUUGUUAAAGGAAGAACGUGCAAGACAACAACGCGAUCCGCGAACGAAGCCCUAAAUACAAAUUUCACCAGUGGACGCUCACCCUGACACGCAGGAAGUGGACUGCAGUGAGAUCAGGACUCGGAUCCUCUUGGCCACGGCCUCCUCAGGGUCCCGGAGUCCCCGCAGCUUCACUCAGAUGCUCAGAGAGAGGGAGCAGGGUCGCUGCCUGGGCUCCAGUUUCUCUCACGGAGAGUGCAGCAACAUCCGCUCACAUUUCCUGCCCAACUAUGUGACGUACAAGGACAUCUAUCAGCAGAAGGUGUUCUGUGGAGUUUACUCUGAGGAUGGCAGACUGUUCCUCUCGGCCUGCCAG